AACAUGACUUUGGUCUCCGUCCUCAUCUGGACUCUCCUCUGCUGCUGCUUCACAGAGUCCAGAGGCCAGAUCACAGUGACUCAGCCUGGAGCAGUGAGCUCUGCUCUGGGAGCCUCCGUCUCCAUCAGCUGUAGCGUCAGUCAGCAGGUGGAAGUGGGAUCAUCAAGUGGUAAAGAUCUGUUACAUUGGUACCAACAGAGAGGAGAAGAAGCUCCUAAACUGCUCAUUUAUAGGGUUAAUGAGCGAGCAUCAGGGAUUCCAGAUCGUUUUACAGGCAGUGGAUCAAAGACUGACUUCACUCUGACCAUCAGUGGAGUUCAGGCUGAAGAUGCAGCAGUUUACUACUGUCAGAGUCGCCACAAAAUCAACAGUCAGUAUGUGUUCACACAGUGA